rnacentral:rRNA from 1 species
CAGUAGCCGCGGGAAUACGAAGGGGGCUAGCGUUGCUCGGAAUGACUGGGCGUAAAGGGCGCGUAGGCGGCGAUCAAAGUCAGGCGUGAAAUUCCUGGGCUCAACCUGGGGGCUGCGCUUGAUACUUGGUUGCUUGAGUGGGGAAGAGGCUCGUGGAAUUCCCAGUGUAGAGGUGAAAUUCGUAGAUAUUGGGAAGAACACCGGUGGCGAAGGCGGCGACCUGGUCCUUGACUGACGCUGAGGCGCGAAAGCGUGGGGAGCAAACAGGAUUAGAGACCCGCGUAGUCCCUGUCUCUUAUAC